rnacentral:lncRNA from 1 species
UUUUUUAAAUUUUUUUUUACUUUAAUGCCCUUUAGAUUAAAAAAUAUUAAGUUAAUAUUAUGUAAUUUUAUUUUUAUUUUUUAUCUGAUAUUUUAUUAAUAUUUUUUUAAAUUAUAUAAAAAAAAAUUAUCCUGCAUCUAAGUUUAUCGAAUAUAUAAUUUAGUAAUUUUUAGUUUUAAUUUUAUCAUUAAUUUAAUAAAAAAAUUAUUGGAAUCGAUAAUAACAAGAUAAAAAUAAAGCCACGAGAUACUAAAUUUAUACACUUAAAAUUAUAGAAUACUAAAGUGAAAAAGUGUGAAAUUAGGGCUUUUUUUGCAAAUAGCCCCAUAAUAAAUUUUAUUUUCGAAAAUAGCCCUGUGUAAAAAUUAUUUGCAAAAAUGGCCCUGNUUCAAUAUUUUAAUUUUACUAUCUAAUUAUCAAUUUAUUUGAUUUGAGUUGGUCAACUAUAAAAUUUGAAUGCAUCGUUUACAAAUUUAGUUAGUAUGUUUUGUGCGAUUCUCGCAGCUGUAAAUUUAUUGAAGUAACAAAUUAGCUUAAAUUUUAAAGUCAAAAUAUCUUUUAACUGACUCAAAUUCAAACAAAUUAGAAGAUUAGUAGAUAACAAAAUUAAAAAUUUUGAAAGAUGAGAUAUAGCCGAUUCAAAAUGAUUCCUAGCUCAGAUAAGUUUUGUGUGUUUUUA